rnacentral:rRNA from 1 species
UACGUAGGUGGCAAGCGUUGUCCGGAUUUAUUGGGUUUAAAGGGUGCGUAGGCGGCUUUAUAAGUCAGUGCUGAAAUAUCCCGGCUUAACCGGGAGGGUGGCAUUGAUACCGCAGAGCUUGAGUGAAGUCGAGGUAGGCGGAAUUGACGGUGUAGCGGUGAAAUGCUUAGAUAUCGUCAAGAACACCGAUAGUGAAGACAGCUUACUAGACUUCAACUGACGCUGAGGCACGAAAGUGUGGGGAUCAAACAGG